rnacentral:rRNA from 1 species
GUACGGCGAGUGCCGCGGCAACAGCUCAAAUUUGAAAUCUGGCUCUUUCAGAGUCCGAGUUGUAAUUUGCAGAGGGCGCUUUUGGCUUUGGCAGCGGUCCAGUUCCUUGGAACAGGACGUCACAGAGGGUGAAAUCCCGUACGUGGUCGCUAGCUAUUGCCGUGUAAAGCCCCUUCGACGAGUCGAGUUUGUUUGGGAAUGCAGCUCUAAAUGGGAGGUAAAUUUCUUCUAAAGCUAAAUAUUGGCCAGAGACCGAUAGCGCACAAGUAGAGUGAUCGAAAGAUGAAAAGCACUUUGGAAAGAGAGUCAAACAGCACGUGAAAUUGUUGAAAGGGAAGCGCUUGCAGCCAGACUUGCUUGCAGUUGCUCAUCCGGGCUUUUGCCCGGUGCACUCUUCUGCAGGCAGGCCAGCAUCAGUUUGGGCGGUGGGAUAAAGGUCUCUGACACGUUCCUUCCUUCGGGUUGGCCAUAUAGGGGAGACGUCAUACCACCAGCCUGGACUGAGGUCCGCGCAUCUGCUAGGAUGCUGGCGUAAUGGCUGUAAGCGGCCCGUCUUGAAACACGGACCAAGGAGUCUAACAUCUAUGCGAGUGUUUGGGUGUCAAGCCCGAGCGCGUAAUGAAAGUGAACGGAGGUGGGAACCCGCAAGGGCGCACCAUCGACCGAUCCUGAAGUUUACGAAGGAUUUGAGUAAGAGCAUGGCUGUUGGGACCCGAAAGAUGGUGAACUAUGCUUGAAUAGGGUGAAGCCAGAGGAAACUCUGGUGGAGGCUCGCAGCGGUUCUGACGUGCAAAUCGAUGCGUCAAAUUUGGGCAUAGGGGCGAAAGACUAAUCGAACUAUCUAGUAGCUGGUUCCUGCCGAAGUUUCCCUCAGGAUAGCAGUAACGUAUUCAGUUUUAUGAGGUAAAGCGAAUGAUUAGAGGCCUGGGGGUUGAAACAACCUUCACCUAUUCUCAAACUUUAAAUAUGUAAGAAGCCCUUUGUUACUUAAUUGAACGCGGGCAUUUGAAUGAAACGUUAUUAGUGGGCCAUUUUUGGUAAGCAGAACUGGCGAUGCGGGAUGAACCGAACGAGGGGUUACGGUGCCGGAGUACACGCUCAUCAGACACCACAAAAGGUGUUGGUUCAUCUAGACAGCAGGACGGUGGCCAUGGAAGUCGGAAUCCGCUAAGGAGUGUGUAACAACUCACCUGCCGAAUGAACUAGCCCUGAAAAUGGAUGGCGCUCAAGCGUGUCACCUAUACCCCUCCGCCGGGGCAAAAUUUACGCCCGGCAGAGUAGGCGAGGCGUGGAGGCUCGUGACGAAAGCCUUGGGGGUGACCC